AGGGUUUGAUCCUGGCUCAGGAUGAACGCUAGCGGCAGGCUUAACACAUGCAAGUCGAGGGGCAGCAUGUCCAGCAAUGGAUGAUGGCGACCGGCGUAAGGGUGCGUAACGCGUGAGCAACAUGCCCUAUACAGGAGGAUACUCCGGGGAAACCCGGUCUAAUACUCCAUAGUAUUAUUGAGAGGCAUCUCUUAAUAAUUAAAGCUUCGGUGGUAUAGGAUUGGCUCGCGUGACAUUAGCCAGAUGGUGAGGUAACGGCUCACCAUAGCAACGAUGUCUAGGGGUUUUGAGAGGAAGGCCCCCCACACUGGGACUGAGACACGGCCCAGACUCCUACGGGAGGCAGCAGUGAGGAAUAUUGGACAAUGGAUGGAAAUCUGAUCCAGUCAUGCCGCGUGCAGGAAGACUGCCUUAUGGGUUGUAAACUGCUUUUAUACGGGAGCAAUAAGGGUUACGUGUAACCUGAUGAGAGUACUGUAUGAAUAAGGAUCGGCUAACUCCGUGCCAGCCGCCGCGGUAAUAC
rnacentral:rRNA from 1 species